rnacentral:sRNA from 1 species
GUUUCAGAAGAAGAGAGGCCUAGCAUGAACAUAACGAGUCUUGUUUGGUAGACAAGGAUGACUUGCCUGAUCCUUUUCUUCAAUGGGAGAGUUCUCAGGCAGUCUCCUUGUCUAACUUGACAGACUCGUUACUUUCGUGCUAGGCCUUCUCUUCUAGAUCAAC